CUUGGACCCCAACUUUCUUUUGAAGACGCAGCAACACGGAGCUCGCCGCACGACCCGGCACAGCGGCCAGGUAGUUACCUCCGCCGGUUUACCGAACACUCCGGUUCAGAAACGUGGAUUAGAGGUCUCUUGUACUCUUGACACUUCUUGCCCCAAGGCGGGUUGUUUCCGACAACCUCUUAAUCCGUCUGAUUCAAAUUAUCAGGGCACUUCCCACUCAUCUUCUGGCGAGUCAUCAACCACAAAGCUUCCACCCCUCAAAACAGUUCCUGGCACCAAGCCUAGACCCAGCAAGAAGGCUCGGUUAAAUAAACCGGCUGAUGAUAACGUGGCUGUUGAACCGGAAAAGACUCUAGAUCCAGAAGAAACUGAUGCUGAUGCCAUGCUUGAUGAUCCGCCGCCUCAAGACCAUGACUUGUUUACUAAACAGGUAGAAAUUGACACCACAGGCCAUGCUGACAAACCGACCAGCCCGGUCUGACCUGAUGACAAAUCGGCCAGUCCAGCUAAGGCUACCAAUAAACCGCCAACUCCCAUGAAGGCUGUUGAUGAUAAAGAGGAUGAUGUUAUGAUUACCGGUGUCAGCCACACUGCUCCUGGCAACCCGGUCGCUUUAUCCAAACAUAGCGCCAAGGAUGAACUUUCUGCUAUGGGCAAAGGCAAAUGGAGCACCGAUUUAUCCAGCUACGCUCAUCUCAACGCCCAAGACAUUCACUCUGGCUUCUUGAACCGUCUGUACACCAGUCAUGACUAUGAAGCCGGUUUAGUAAAUCUGAUGAAGGAGCGAUAUGAGGCUGAGCUGAGCAAAAAGGAAACUCAAAACGCCGAUCUGCAAGAGAACAUCAAAUCUCAGCAAGCCGAAACCUCCAAGGCCAAGGAAGAGUUGACCAGCGCUUUAGACGCUAUGGAGAAACUGAAAAAGCUUCAACAAGGAGCGAGCGGAUUGGGAGACAGAAAAAUCCGCUUUGCGAAAAAGAGCCGAGGAUGCAGAAACAGCUCUUAAACCGGUGGUAGAUGAGCUGACUGGCGUAAAGCGGCAGAUACAUGCCAUUACUGCUGCUGUGUUCGGAACUCGCAUUAGUCAUCUAGGCUCUGAUGUACAGAAGAAACUGGAGGCUUCCUACACGCUGAUAGAGCAAUUGUACACCGGUGCGCAACGAAUCAUCUGCACCGCUUCUCACAAUAAGCCGCCCCCGAUGUUAAUCAAGGAUACUUUAGACAGGCUAUCUAUGCUACCUGCCCGGGUAGAAGAGUUAAAGAGAUUUGCUGCAAGGGCUGGCGCUCUGACCGCACUAAGCCGGGCAAAAGCAUGGGUGCCUGAUCUUGAUCCGGCGGACGUGGCUAAAGGCUACCCAAGCUUAA